GCGGAUGUGGCCAAGUGGAUUAAGGCAGU
rnacentral:tRNA from 1 species